rnacentral:rRNA from 1 species
UACGUAUGGUGCAAGCGUUAUCCGGAUUUACUGGGUGUAAAGGGAGCGCAGGCGGCGCGGCAGGUCCGAUGUGAAAACCCCCGGCUCAACCGGGGGACUGCAUUGGAAACUACCGGGCUGGAGUGCCGGAGAGGUAGGCGGAAUUCCUGGUGUAGCGGUGAAAUGCGUAGAUAUCAGGAGGAACACCAGUGGCGAAGGCGGCCUACUGGACGGUGACUGACGCUGAGGCUCGAAAGCGUGGGGAGCAAAUAGG